UAGGGAAUCUUCCGCAAUGGGCGAAAGCCUGACGGAGCAACGCCGCGUGAGUGAUGAAGGUCUUCGGAUCGUAAAACUCUGUUAUUAGGGAAGUACAAAUGUGUAAGUAACUAUGCACGUCUUGACGGUACCUAAUCAGAAAGCCACGGCUAACUACGUGCCAGCAGCCGCGGUAAUACGUAGGUGGCAAGCGUUAUCCGGAAUUAUUGGGCGUAAAGCGCGCGUAGGCGGUUUUUUAAGUAUGAUGUGAAAGCGCACGGCUCAAACGUUGAAGGUCAUUGGAAACUGGGAAACUUGAGUGCAGAAGAGGAAAAUGGAAUACCAUGUGUAGCGGUGAAAUGCGCAGAGAUAUGGAGGAACACCAGUGGCGAAGGCGACUUUCUGGUCUGUAACUGACGCUGAUGUGCGAAAGCGUGGGGAUCAAACAGG
rnacentral:rRNA from 1 species